rnacentral:rRNA from 1 species
UGGGGAAUUGUUCGCAAUGGGCGCAAGCCUGACGACGCAACGCCGCGUGGAGGAUGAAGAUUUUCGGAUCGUAAACUCCUUUCGAUCGGGACGAAUGGCUAGUGGUUGAAUACGCCACUGGAUUGACGGUACCGAGAGAAGAAGCACCGGCUAACUCCGUGCCAGCAGCCGCGGUAAUACGGGGGGGGCAAGCGUUGUUCGGAAUUACUGGGCGUAAAGGGCGCGUAGGCGGCCUGCUAAGUCACACGUGAAAUCCCUCGGCUCAACCGGGGAACUGCGUGUGAUACUGGCGGGCUUGAAUUCGGGAGAGGGAUGUGGAAUUCCAGGUGUAGCGGUGAAAUGCGUAGAUAUCUGGAGGAAUACCGGUGGCGAAGGCGGCAUCCUGGACCAUUACUGACGCUGAGGCGCGAAAGCUAGGGGAGCAAA